AGGGAAGAAGUAAUACCAGGCUGUAAUGUUUUUGUCAUUUCCAGGCCCAAGGUUUGGAUUCCUGUGGGAGAAGCUUACUGCUGAGUGUCAGAGGAAAAAGUCACUGUCUUUCAACACACGAGUGGGUGGGCAGUUAAUGGAAGAAGAAAGUCACAGAGAGGACAACCCAUUUCGUCUCUAUCUCUCUUGUCCUGCUGGCAGAUAAGGAGAUGCUGCAUGCCAGGCUAAUAGCUCAUACCUGUGGCAGGUUGGCCACUCUCUCCAAUUCUUGCCAGUGGUCUCAGACAGGAUGCCUGGAGAUAACCUUUAAAUCCAAGAAAAAGGAUGGUAGGAAUUGGAGACGAGGGAGAAAGCUCCCCACCCACAUCCAGAGAUUCUGCGGCCUGCUGAAAGGCAGCCAAGCUGAGGAUAUGGCUCAGCUUAACAUCAUCUCUGAGAAUCAGGCCUCGAGCCAACCCAGCAGCUUGACCUAGCAGUUUAAGUGGGACUAGAAAAUAAAGUCUCAAGUCUCUCUUGUCUGGCAUUUUGGUGGUGAUAGUAAGUUCAAGGACUGUCUUCAUUAAGACUAAGUUGUGAAGAUGGAGCUGUGCAUCUGUGGUCUUUACGCAGAGGAGGUGUGUACGAGUACUGAUCUGUUUCACUUGACAGCAGCCACUUAGCCAAUUUUCAACUUUAGAGAAGCAAGAUGCAAGAAAGUGACAGAGGAACAAGACAAGCCCAGGAGUGAAAAAAAUACAAAGAGCAGUGUCUGUGUCUCUGAGUGUGAAAUGACUUUUGUUUGGAGGUAAAGGCAGACUGUAAUAAAUUUAGGACUCUGACUAAAGCCCCUGGGUGAAAUGUCCAAUAGAAACAACAGCCCAGUGUGUUUACUUCCUCCACCUCUCAAUUUGGUGUCAUUAUUCAUCCUGCUAGCUGUGUGCCUGCUAGCCUUGGUGCUUCCAAACCUGUACAAAAAUGCAGA